rnacentral:rRNA from 1 species
AGAACGAACGCUGGCGGCGUGCCUAACACAUGCAAGUCGAACGAGAAAGGGACUUCGGUCCUGAGUACAGUGGCGCACGGGUGAGUAACACGUAGGUAACCUACCUCUAAGUUUGGGAUAACCUGUCGAAAGAUGAGCUAAUACUGAGUGAGACCACAGUUUCCUCGGAAGCAGGGGUCAAAGGUAGCCUCUAUUUAUAAGCUAUCGCUUGGAGAUGGGCCUGCGUACCAUUAGCUAGUUGGUGAGGUAACGGCUCACCAAGGCAAAGAUGGUUAGCUGGUCUGAGAGGAUGAUCAGCCACACUGGAACUGAGACACGGUCCAGACUCCUACGGGAGGCAGCGAGUGGGGAAUAGUUGCGCAAGUGGGACGAAAGCCUAGACGCAGCAACGCCGCGUAGAGUUGAGUUACGACGGUCCGUUGGUACGUAAGUCUCGU